GGGUCAGUAGGUUGGUCGUGCCACCGGUACGUACUGGUCUCACUGAUUCCUCCUUCCUGAAGAACCGUAAUGCCAUUAAUUUGGUGUUGCGGGGAAACAGGACUGUUACUUUGAAAAAAUUAGAGUGUUUAAAGAAUGCUAACGCUUGAAUACAUGAGCAUGGAAUAAUGAAAUAGGACGAUCGAUCCUCUUUUGUUGGUUUCUAGGAUUGACGUA
rnacentral:rRNA from 1 species